rnacentral:rRNA from 1 species
GAGUUUGAUCGUGGCUCAGGAUGAACGCUGGCGGCGUGCUUAACACAUGCAAGUCGAACGAAGCGCCUUAUUUGAUUUUCUUCGGAACUGAAGAUUUGGUGACUGAGUGGCGGACGGGUGAGUAACGCGUGGGUAACCUGCCCUGUACAGGGGGAUAACAACCAGAAAUGACUGCUAAUACCGCAUAAGACCACAGCACCGCAUGGUGCAGGGGUAAAAACUCCGGUGGUACAGGAUGGACCCGCGUCUGAUUAGCUGGUUGGUGAGGUAACGGCUCACCAAGGCGACGAUCAGUAGCCGGCUUGAGAGAGUGAACGGCCACAUUGGGACUGAGACACGGCCCAAACUCCUACGGGAGGCAGCAGUGGGGAAUAUUGCACAAUGGGGGAAACCCUGAUGCAGCAACGCCGCGUGAGUGAAGAGUAUUUCGGUAUGUAAAGCUCUAUCAGCAGGGAAGAAAGUGACGGUACCUGACUAAGAAGCCCCGGCUAACUACGUGCCAGCCGCCGCGGUAAC